UUUAUAAACUACUGAGUUCAUGCAGCAACAUACUGUAGACUGGGCAGUAUGGGCUGUACAGUAUAAUCACAUUGAGUCUCAUUCACUAAUAAAUGUGUAAAUGAUUUGUAUUUAGGCUAAAUGCACAUUCAUACUUCUCACAAAAAAAUUUCAGACACAAAAACUCCAUCUUCAUUUCAGGCUGCAGAGCAACAAAAUGUGAUUAUUUUACAAAUGGGUGGUUAUUUUCUAUACCAACUGUAAGGACUUUCCGCACAAUCUAUCCUGUACAGCUUUUCGUCACUCUUGUCAAACAUACUCCACACACCCUCAUAUGCUAAGUGUGCCAUCCUCAACACCAGUUCAAAGACAAUAAACACCUUUUAUACAUACCCAGGUUACAGAUCUCACAUUAGCCAGCUGUACACAGAAAUAUAUAUGCACCAUUAUUCAGAGAAGCCUGAAAAUGUUCAGACGCAGAUUUCACAAUCAAAUAUGUGUGUAUGCAAGCUUAGUGAAUGAGACCCAGUGUUCCACAGACAUUAAGUACCAUUGUAAGUGUUAUGUAUGAAUAGAAAUAAUACUUUAUAUGCAAGUAAGGGGUGGAGUCAUGUAGUGAUGACAAAGUGAUUUGCUCCCUGUAUACCAGUGCAAUGUGAGAAUUAAAAGACACAUUUUUUUUUUUCUGUUCCUGAAUUGGUAUCCCUGAAUCUUGUUUAACAUCCCCUGUCUUUAUAACUAAAAAGGAAGACACAACAAUAAGUAAUCAUUUAGGAUAAAGAAAAAAAAUAAAGAAAGCCAUCAGCUGAGGUUUAAGGUGGAAUCUGGCUCAGAAAUGACUCUGCUUGCUGUGGCCAGAGGUUCUUCUUUCUAAUUCUCCUUCCUUCCUUUUUUUUUUUUUCAGGAAACCAAGCAUAAAUGGAGAGCAGUCUUGCCUUCACCACAACUGAACACUACAAUGCACUCUGAUCUGCUAACCUCUUUUGAGAGUGUCUGCAGUCCUGGCCUGAGUCAUUCCUCUGCACAGCAGAGAAAGGGCUGUUUUUGGACACAAGCAGAAAGGUAUUCCAGCAAGAUAGCAGAUAAUGUGGAGUGUGGAGGUACUGAAAAUGGAGAUUACUACACGUCCAGAUAAAAAUGCCAAUACUUCUAAAUAUCCUGAGAUAUCACAUGAAGUGACUGGGUUCCUAAAUGAUGAUAUAUGAAGAGUAGAGACAUUUUGGCAUUUAGAUUCUAUAUGGAAACAAACAAAUGUUUUAAGACAUUUAUUUAUAUUGUUUACUUUACUAUGCCAGUAGGAAAUAUUAAUUUUGCAUUCCUGAAACAUUCGUUUUGCAAAUAGUGUAAUAACCCAGAUAUUUUUGCACAAACAAGGAGUCCAUUCCAUGAAUGGUUUAUAAAUUAGCCUCCAUUUGCUAAAUCACCCUUUGCCUUAAAACAGGCUUUUCAGAGUUUAUUACAUUUAAGUUAUUAUAUUAGUUAUUAUAUUUGGAUAAAAGAUUACAAACAUACAGUUCUUGACUGUUUGAAAUUAAUGUAUACUGAUUAUUAGGCAUGCAUAAAGGAAAAAUAUAAAUAUUAUGUUACAAAAUCAGGACUUCAAUCAUACAACACAAGCAGAAUAUCUGAGUAAAACAUUUGUGAAACCAUUCUUUUGUGCAUUUCCACAAUUAAUUGUUGGCAGAAUGGUUUACAAGGAUGUAUUAAUUCUGCUCAUGUGUCAUGAAUGAGACCCAUUGCUCCUUACAGGAUCAUGGGCAUGAAUCCAUUAAAUCAUGAAUCAUCAUUCCUUUCUUUGCCUCCACUCUUUUGAGAUAGCUUUCUUUUAGAAACUGGAACUCUGCUGCAGGAAUUUGCUUUCAUUCGGCCUCAGGAGCAUUACUGGGGGUAUCUACUGAUUUUUGUUGAUGUGACCCAGAACACAGUCAUAGAAAAUGUUUAAGUCAGGGUUCUGUGUAGCUCCUCCAUCUCAGCAUUUAUUUAUUUAUUUUGCCUAGACCUUGCUUUAUCAUGCUGCAUUGGGAAUAUACCUUACCUGAAGAAGCCAUUUCUGACAUGGAACCCACACAGUCAUAGUAUUGCAAGGACAGGCCUCAAAAUAGGAAACCUAAUGUAUGCAGUGUUUUUCACAGUCACCAGUUGAGCCGCCUCUGCUGCAUUUCCCAGCAUCCCUCUUGCCACUCACCUGCCUUCCCUUGCCAAUCACUCACACCUAAAAUUCUUCAGUCACUGCCAAUCAAGCUCCAUAUAAAGAGAUGCUCACUCCACUCUCUCAUUGUCUGGUCUCACAGUUGCUUAGCACGACUUACCUGACUCACCUCUCUGUUUACUCACCUCUCAGAAGUGAUGACGAGAUGAAUCCUUGUGAAGCAUUGAAGCUUUUCAUCAAAGUGGUUCACAAAAGGGUUCACGAGGCUUAAUAUGCUCACAAUACCACCUGGUGGCCAAAGAAUGUAAAACAAGCAGAUACAAUACAGAGGACCUAAUGUGAUCUAUGAUUACACUGUUUUGCACCAGUUAAGUUAAAUUACUUCACCAAGUUAAGCUACACAUCCCUUUCAGUUACCUGGAUACUUACCUGUAUGUCUAUGUCUUGUCGGCACCUGCCUCAGUCUUCGAUAAACCUGCUGUUAUAUUGACUUACCCUUGUGUCCUGUCGUGUUUGCUGACAGAAGACCAGACCAUC
rnacentral:lncRNA from 1 species